UUUGGGAUCCGGGGUUUGGGAUCCGGGGGUUUGGGAUCCGGGGUUUGGGAUUUGGGAUCCGGGAGUUUGGGAUCCGGGAAUUCGGGGUCCGGGGGUUUGGGAUCCGGGAGUUUGGGAUCCGGGGGUUUGGGAUCCGGGGUUUGGGAUCCGGGGUUUGGGAUUUGGGGUCCGGGAGUUUAGGAUUUGGGAUCCAGGAAUUUGGGAUUUGGGAUCAGGGAGUUUGGGAUCCCGGGAAUUUGGGAUUCCAAGAGUUUGGGAUCAAAGAGUUUGGGAUCCAGGAAUUUGGGAUCUGGGAAUUCGGGAUCCGGGAGUUUGGGGUGUGGGAAUUUGGGAUUCCAAGAGUUUGGGAUCCGGGAGUUUGGGAAUUUGGGAUCCGGGAAUCUGGGAUUUGGGAGUUUGGGAUCCCGGGAAUUUGGGAUCUGGGGAUUUGGGAAUUUGGGAUCCAAGAGUUUGGGAUCAGGGAGUUUGAGAUCCAAGAGUUUGGGAUCCGGGAAUCUGGGAUCCAGGAGUUUGGGAUCCGUGAGUUUGGGAUCCAGGAAUUUGGGAUCUGGGAAUUUGGGACCCGGGAAUCUGGGAUUGGGGAAUUUGGGAUCGGGGAAUUUGGGAUCGGGGAAUUUGGGAUCAGCACCGAGGCCGAGUCGGAUCUCGAAGUUUAUUCCAACCUAAAAAAACUCUGUACAAAACAUCCGAACCCUGGAACACAACGGGAACGCGGGAGGGGGAUCCGGGGGGAUCCGGGGGAUCCGAGGGAUCCGAGGGGAUCUGGGAAGGUUUUUAUGGGAUCCGAGGGGAUUUUAUGGGAUUUUUAUGGGAUCUGAUGGGAUUUUGUCGGAUCUGAAGAGAUUUUAUGGGAUCUGAUGGGAUUUUAUGGGAUCCAAGGGGAUUUUUUAUGGGAUUUUAUGGGAUCCAAUGGGAUUUUAUGGGAUCUGAUGGGAUUUUUUAUGGGAUUUUAUGGGAUCCGAUGGGAUUUUAUGGGAUCUGAUGGGAUCUUGUGGGAUUUCACAGCAUCUGGGCGGGUUUUUUUCCCAUUUUUGGUGGGAUUUUACCGAGACUCUGGGGUUUUUUUUGGGAAUUCUGUGGGAUUUUUUGGGAUUCUGGAGCAUUCUGUAGGAUUUUCUGGAGUUCUGGGGGAUUCUGUGGGGUUUUUUGGGGUUCUGGGGGUUUUUUUGGGGUUCUGUGGGGUUUUUUGGAUUCUGUGGGGUUUUUUUGGGAUUCUGGAGGAUUCUGGGGUUGUUUUUUGGGUGUUUUUGGGGUUAUUCGGCGGGAUCUGGGUGUCAGUCGGAGUCGGAGUCGCUCUCGGCCUCCUUGACGUCCACGCUGAAUUUGUACUCCUGGUCACAGCCCAUGUAGGCGUCGCUCAUGAAGUAAAGGGUGUAGUGCUGCUGGCCCGGCGCCGGCGCCACGAAAUCCAGCUUCACCUGGGGACACGGGGACAUCACCGGGGUCACCGGGGACAUCGGGGUCACCAGGGUCACCCUGAGUCACCCAGGGUCACCGGGGUCACCCUGAGUCACCCUGAGUCACCCAGCUUCACCUGGGGACACGGGGACAUCACCGGGGUCACCGGGGUCACCCUGAGUCACCCAGCUUCACCU
ensembl:lncRNA